rnacentral:rRNA from 1 species
CAUCGCCUCUUGACCUCAUAAGAGGUCCAGCCUGCCCAGUGACCUAGUUCAACGGCCGCGGUACCCUAACCGUGCGAAGGUAGCGUAAUCACUUGUCUUCUAAAUAAAGACUAGUAUGAAAGACAUCACGAGAACUUGACUGUCUCCCUUUUCCAAUCAGUGAACCUAAUCUCCCCGUGAAGAAGCGGGAAUUUAUAAAUAAGACGAGAAGACCCUAUGGAGCUUUAAACACUAAUCACCUGCCCCAUUCAUUUAAUACUCAGGCUCCUAAACCAACGCACCAUGAUUAUGUGUUUUCGGUUGGGGUGACCGCGGAAAACAAUACAACCUCCGCAAUGAAACUUUAAACUAUAAGCCACAACUUUAAGUAUCAACAAAUUGACAUCCAUUGACCCAAUAUAUUGAUUAAUGAACCAAGUU